rnacentral:rRNA from 1 species
UACGUAGGUUGCAGGCGUUAAUCGGAAUUACUGGGCGUAAAGCGUGCGCAGGCGGUUUGCUAAGACAGGUGUGAAAUCCCCGGGCUUAACCUGGGAACUGCGCUUGUUACUGGCAGGCUUGAGUGUGGCAGAGGGGGGUGGAAUUCCACGUGUAGCAGUGAAAUGCGUAGAGAUGUGGAGGAACACCGAUGGCGAAGGCAGCCCCCUGGGCUAACACUGACGCUCAUGCACGAAAGCGUGGGGAGCAAACAGG